CCUACGGGUGGCAGCAGUGAGGAAUAUUGGUCAAUGGGCGUAAGCCUGAACCAGCCAAGUCGCGUGAGGGAUGAAGGUUCUAUGGAUCGUAAACCUCUUUUAUAAGGGAAUAAAGUGUGGGACGCGUCCUAUUUUGUAUGUACCUUAUGAAUAAGGAUCGGCUAACUCCGUGCCAGCAGCCGCGGUAAUACGGAGGAUCCGAGCGUUAUCCGGAUUUAUUGGGUUUAAAGGGUGCGGAGGCGGCCUUUUAAGGCAGCGGUGAAAUCCUGUGGCUCAACCCUAGAAUUGCCGUUGAAACUGGGGGGCUUGAGUAUGUUUGAGGCAGGCGGAAGGCGUGGUGUAGCGGUGAAAUGCUUAGAUAUCGCGCAGAACCCCGAUUGCGAAGGCAGCGUGCCGAGCCAUGACUGACGCUGAUGCACGAAAGCGUGGGGAUCGAACAGGAUUAGAUACCCGAGUAGUC
rnacentral:rRNA from 1 species